CUUUGGCUUUUUACAGGUUUAGAUUUCUUCCCUUUCCUGUCAGGAGACAAUCAGCAUUACAACACAUCCCUUCUUGCGGCUGCAGCCGCGGCAGUUUCCGCCUCAGAUGAUCAAGAACUCUUACACUCUCGUUUUUUCCCCUACACUUCAUCUCAGAUGUUUCUCGAUCAGCUCAAUGCAGGAGGAAGCGGUUCUCUGCCGGCCACAAACGGUAGCAAUAGUGGCAGUAACAGCAGUCUUGUUUCCUCCAACAGCCUGCGAGAGAAUCAUGGGCAUCCCGUUGCAAGUAGGAGCAGCACGGACACGGCGUCUAUCUUUGGUAUCAUACCAGACAUUAUUUCAUUGGACUGUUUUUUUUUUUUUUUUUUGGAGUCAACGAACUCGUCAGAGGAAAAAAAUCUUUGUGCUUGGUUUUACUUUAUGUUAGAAACAUAGACAAGGUUUUUUUUUCCUUUUUUAGGGGAAAAAAAUUUAUGUGUACAGAGAACAAAAGUAUAUUUUCAGUUUUACUUUUGUAUAUAAACCUAAGAUGGCCUCACUGGUAAAAAUAAGAAAAAAAAAAAAAA